rnacentral:lncRNA from 1 species
UCUUUUUCCUGAUAAAUAAACUUUUUCAAUCGUCUUUGUAGAUUUUGUCUCCUCCAAACUGACCAUCGGUUCUUCGUCUCAUUUCUUUUGAACACCAUGGAAAUCUCCCAAUAUCCAUAGUAACUCUUUGCUCUCCUCUCUGGUUAAUUUCUCGUCUUCGUCCCACUUUAUCUCGGUUGACUCCGAUUCUUCUUCUUUCGGCUCUUCGUCCCACUUCAUCUCAGUUGAAUCCGAUUCCUCUUCUUCUGGCGAACUCACAAAAAAUUGGGGUUCUUCGAAAAAGUCAUCGUCGUCCUCUUCCUCUU